UAAAACUCUUUUUUCAACCAUUAUUCAAAUGUAUUGUUUUGAAAACUAUAGAUUUGUUAAGUCUCUUUAUAUGUCAUGUAUUGUCAUAGGUUCUUUUACUAUCGUCUAUCUAUAUAUGUCAUGUAUUGUCAGAGGUCCUGUUUCUAUCGUCUAUCUACAUAUGUCAUGUCUUGUCAGAGGUACUUUUACUGUCGUCUAUCUAUAUAUGUCAUGAAUUGUCAGUGGUCCUUUUACUGUUGUCUAUCUACAUAUGUCACGUCAUGUCAUGUCAUGUCAGAGGUCCUUUUACUGUCGUCUAUCUACAUAUGUCACGUCAUGUCAUGUCAGAGGUCCUUUUACUAUCGUCUACCUACCAAUGUCAUGUCUUGUCAGAAGUACUUUUACUCUCUUCUAUCUACAUAUGUCAUGUCUUGUCAGUUGUUCAUUACUAUCGUCUAUCUAUAUAUGUCAUGUCUUGUCAGAGGUUAUUUUACUAUUGUCUAUCUACAUAUGUCAUGGAGUCAUUGGAGUCAUUAAAACUCGUUUUUCCUACCAUUACUCAAAUGUAUUGUUUUCAAACUAUAGAUUUGUUAAGUCUCUUUAUAUGUCAUGUUACUAUCGUCUAUCUACCAAUGUCAUGUCUUGUCAGAGGUACUUUUACUAUCGUCUAUCUACAUAUGUCAUGUCUUGUCAGAGGUCCUUUUACUGUCGUCUAUCUACAUAUGUCACGUCAUGUCAUGUCAUGUCAUGUCAGAGGUCCUUUUACUAUCGUCUACCUACCAAUGUCAUGUCUUGUCAGAGGUACUUUUACUCUCUUCUAUCUACAUAUGUCAUGUCAUGUCAUGUCAGAGGUCCUUUUACUAUCGUCUACCUACCAAUCUCAUGUCUUGUCAGAGGGACUUUUACAAUCUUCUAUCUACAUAUGUCAUGUCUUGUCAAUUGUUCAUUACUAUUGUCUAUCUAUAUAUGUCAUGUCUUGUCAGAGGUCAUUUUACUAUUGUCUAUCUAUAUAUGUCAUGUCUUGUCAGAG
rnacentral:lncRNA from 1 species